CCUACGGGAGGCAGCAGUGAGGAAUAUUGGUCAAUGGUCGGGAGACUGAACCAGCCAAGCCGCGUGAGGGAGGAAGGUACAGAGUAUCGUAAACCUCUUUUGUCAGGGAACAAAGGCGGGGACGUGUCCCCGGAUGAGUGUACCUGAAGAAAAAGCAUCGGCUAACUCCGUGCCAGCAGCCGCGGUAAUAUGGAGGAUGCGAGCGUUAUCCGGAUUUAUUGGGUUUAAAGGGGGCGCAGGCGGGCUGUUAAGUCAGCGGGGAAAGCCCCGGGCUCAAACCCGGACCGGCGUUUGAAACUGGCAGUCUCGAGUUGGAAAGAGGAAUGCGGAAUGCGCGGUGUAGCGGUGAAAUGCAUAGAUAUAGCGCAGAACUCCGAUUGCGAAGGCAGCAUGCCGGCUCCACACUGACGCUGAGGCACGAAAGCGUGGGUAUCGAACAGGAUUAGAUACCCUGGUAGUC
rnacentral:rRNA from 1 species